rnacentral:SRP_RNA from 4 species
GACGGGCCUCCCCGCAUGGAAGCGCGCCCAACCGGGUCAGGUGGGGAACCAAGCAGCCCUAAGCGUUGCAACCAGUGCCGGGGUCAGGCUCGUCACC